rnacentral:rRNA from 1 species
CAGUCGCCGCGGUAAUACGUAGGCUCCGAGCGUUGUCCGGAUUUAUUGGGCGUAAAGCGAGCGCAGGCGGUUAGAUAAGUCUGAAGUUAAAGGCUGUGGCUUAACCAUAGUACGCUUUGGAAACUGUUUAACUUGAGUGCAAGAGGGGAGAGUGGAAUUCCAUGUGUAGCGGUGAGAUGCGUAGAUAUAUGGAGGAACACCGGUGGCGAAAGCGGCUCUCUGGCUUGUAACUGACGCUGAGGCUCGAAAGCGUGGGGAACAAACAGGAUUAGAUACCCCGGUAGUCCCUGUCUCUUAUACA